UACGUAGGGUGCAAGCGUUAAUCGGAAUUACUGGGCGUAAAGCGUGCGCAGGCGGUUUUGUAAGUUUGUCGUGAAAGCCCCGGGCUCAACCUGGGAAUUGCGAUGAAGACUGCAAGGCUUGAAUCUGGCAGAGGGGGGUAGAAUUCCACGUGUAGCAGUGAAAUGCGUAGAGAUGUGGAGGAACACCGAUGGCGAAGGCAAUCCCCUGGGCCUGUACUGACGCUCAUGCACGAAAGCGUGGGGAGCAAACAGG
rnacentral:rRNA from 1 species